rnacentral:rRNA from 1 species
GAUGAACGCUGGCGGCGUGCCUAAUACAUGCAAGUCGAGCGAACGGACGAGAAGCUUGCUUCUCUGAUGUUAGCGGCGGACGGGUGAGUAACACGUGGAUAACCUACCUAUAAGACUGGGAUAACUUCGGGAAACCGUAGCUAAUACCGGAUAAUAUUUUGAACCGCAUGGUUCAAAAGUGAAAGACGGUCUUGCUGUCACUUAUAGAUGGAUCCGCGCUGCAUUAGCUAGUUGGUAAGGUAACGGCUUACCAAGGCAACGAUGCAUAGCCGACCUGAGAGGGUGAUCGGCCACACUGGAACUGAGACACGGUCCAGACUCCUACGGGAGGCGGCAGUAGGGAAUCUUCCGCAAUGGGCGAAAGCCUGACGGAGCAACGCCGCAUGAGUGAUGAAGGUCUUCGGAUCGUAAAACUCUGUUAUUAGGGAAGAACAUACGUGUAAGUAACUGUGCACAUCUUGACGGUACCUAAUCAGAAAGCCACGGCUAACUACGUG